UCUUGCCUUGCCACAAAGAAGAAAAGAGAGAUGUGAUCUUAACCCCUUCGCUCCUUCACCAGCCCUCCCAUUAUCACAUCUCCCUCUUUUUUCUCCUCCUCUUUUUGAAUUUCCUUGCUCCCCCCCCCCCCACCUGCCCACACCCUACUGGCUUCCAUACAUCACCUGGCACAAGACAAGGAGAAAUCUACUGCUCUAAUUUCAGCCUGGAUCCAAGAAGAGGACAACAAAGAAUCCCCAAAAGAAUGCCUGAAGGAGAUGGAACCUCAAUUCCCAAAAGGGACAGUCAGUCAAAUCUUGUUCCAAGAUGAAAUAUCUGAACCUAUCAUUUCCAUAUGAAAAUGGACAUUUGUGCAUACAUACCAGUCGGAAAUUCCUAUUCCUACCCACAAUUGCUUUCCGUUAUAGUUGGACUAUUUGGAAGACUUCAUGAACGCUGGUUGCAAAGAACUGCAGUCACUUUACACAAAAGCACCAAGACAGCAACAGAAAGGGAAACAACAAGGGAGAGAAAAUAUCUCGAAGUAAGAUCACACAAAAAGAAGAAAGGCUAUGGAUGUUUAGCCUCAGGAGAGGUGAAAGGAAGAAUGAGGGUUGAAAGAAAGACUCCGUUCUGAAAAUGCUGCUUUCCUGCACUCCCCUCCGGCCAUGGAGUGGUAAAGAGAAAGUGGAUGGCAACAGAACAUCCUCCCUCCACCUACAAUUUG